rnacentral:misc_RNA from 1 species
UGAUACAAUGUGCUCCAUUGAAAGCUUCCAAGAGGAACACAACUAGGGCAAUUCUUCUGGACUAUGAUGGUACUCUAAUGCCUCAGGCAUCGAUUGAUAAGAGUCCAUCUCACAAGUCAAUUGACAUCCUAAAUGGCUUGUGCACAGAUAAGAACAACAUGGUUUUCCUUGUUAGUGCCAGAAGCCGCAAUACACUCACUGAAUGGUUUUCUCAAUGUAGCUGCAGAGCAUGGGUACUUCCUGAGGCUGACAAGAGAUGCAGAAUGGGAAACAUGUGCCCCUGUAACAGACACUGCUUGGAAGCAGAUUGCAGAACCUGUGAUGCAGCUCUAUAUGGAAACAACUGAUGGUUCCACUAUCGAGGAUAAGGAAACUGCUGUAGUAUGGUGUUAUGAGGAUGCAGAUCCUGAUUUUGGUUCAUGCCAGGCUAAAGAACUUCUUGAUCAUCUUGAAAG